GAGACCGGAGUGUUAAGCGGCUGAAACGAUCCCUUGCCAAGAGGCAAACAAAAGCCCAAAGCAUCCGGGCGCAUUUACAGAGCCAGAUUUUCUUUGAAAGACAGAGAUUAACUGGCACCGGUAAGGGCAGCCAACUGAUCUUUUAGGACCCCAUGCUGUGUAAUUGUUUCUAAAAUAAGGAUAUUACACCAUGUCGCCAAUUCUGACUGGGGUUAUUGUGCUUGCAAGUUACAGUGUAUGCCGUGCUGUAAAUAUCCUUUGCGUGUUAUGCUACGAUACAAUAACUCAUCCUUGGAUAGUUUACUGUAGUUUUUGCUUUGGAGUAUUGCUGAUGCUCCAAAUGGUGUAGUCUGUUUUCUAUGUGGGAUUUGUGUUCACUGACUUGAAGUUCUGACAUUGGGCUAAAUAAGAUUGCAGGUGACGCGUUCAUUCAAACCAAGCCGAAGAACUCAAUGGGCCAAGCAGUAUCUUGGAGGGAAAUGGACAGUCGAUGUUUUGGGUCAAGACUCCUCAUUGUGGUUCAAACAACAGGAAUUCUGCAGAUGCUGGAAAUUCAAGCAACACACAUCAAAGUUGCUGGUGAACGCAGCAGGCCAAGCAGCAUCUAUAGGAAGAGGCGCAGUCGACGUUUCAGGCCGAGACCCUUCGUCAGGACUAACUGAAGGAAGAGUGGAUAUAUGAAAUUUCCCUUCGUGGGGUACUGAAGACAUGCCCUCCAGAACCAGCCACCCCUGUGUCCAAGGUGCUCCAGUACAGAUACAACACUAGCAUCUACCCAAAAAUGUGGUACAUUGCCCAGAUCGCAUCCCCGGGUUGGAGAAUUGUGCCUUGGAGGACACCAGCAGCAGUGACAGCAAAAGCAGAUGGAAUGUACCAUACACAAUGUCAAGAAUGUGCAGGGCACUCUGCAGCCAAUGGUGAACUUUCAAAGAGUGGACAAUAUUGUGUAUAGGAAAUGCAGGAGCCAAUUUACAUGUAGCAAGUUCCCACAAAUGACAACAAGAAUGUCUCUUGUAAAAUGUAUGGUUUGCAUCAAAUUAAAUCAGCAAGGAUUGUGCUGGUAAACAACAGGAAUUCUGCAGAUGCUGGAAAUUCAAGCAACAUACAUCAAAGUUGCUGGUGAACGCAGCAUCUAUAGGAAGAGGCGCAGUCGACGUUUCAGGCCGAGACCCUUCGUCAGGACUAACUGAGGAUUGUGCUGGGAAGGGUGCAAAUAUUUUUCAGAUGUUAUUGACUCAUUGUAAGCUGCUCUGUACAGACCAUUCAUUAGUUCAAUUAUACUCAUUCCACUCUUUUAAAUCUGAAUUCUAUCUCUCUAAGAAUUAUAAUCUUUCACCUUAUUGUCUACACGCACUGUGUUUAGCUGUUAUACUUUAUUCUGUAUUCUGCUACUGUUUUACCUUGUAUUGCAAUGGAUUCCAGUUAAUUGGGCCGUCAGUUAAUCGGGUCCGCCAUUUAUUUGGGACAGCUCUUACAGAAUAAAAACUAAUCAAGAAAAUAGUCGGGAUUCCCUUCAUUUAUUUGGGGCACUACACUGUGCUGAGAGCGAACAGUUUUUAAAUAGCAUCAGUUGCACGUGUUUGUGUCCAAAAGUUGUGAUUUUUAUCGCUGAUAGUUGGUGGGAAAUAAGCAGGACAAUUCAAAACUGUUUUGCUCACUGUGGUUUCAAGCAUUCGGGCUUGGAGAUGCCUGCAACAGCCAGGAGUGGAAUUGAAACAAUUUCACUACAACAAGUUAGGAACUACAAAAAAUUUGAAGGGAUCAACAAUGAUCUGAGUGCUAUAACAAAAGUGAAGAUUUUGAGGAUGCAGCUGUAGAAAGGAUUGUAUGAAGGCAGUCCAUUAUCUACACUAGGAGUCUGCACUGAUUUUGUUCAUUUACAGUCAAUCAAAAGAACAUGGUAGCAUUCUUUUGAUUGACUACUAGGAAUUGAUACACAGUUGUAUAGUACUACAGUAGUAUUGAUAGUGUUCUAAUUUGUUACAUUUUUCAUUUAAAUACAGAGUUAUUAUUCAGUUAAGUGGUAUUUUGUCUUUUUCUCCGCUGAUUUGGGCAACAGCUUAAUUGGGUUAAAAUGUACAGUUUCCAAUGUAUGACAAUUAACUGGAAUCCACUGCAUUUUAUUUUGACAUACAGCACUGUAAGAGACCCUUCCAGCCCAAUGAGCCUGUGCUGUUCACAUACACCCACGUGAGUAACUAACCUAUUAACCGGUAUGUCUUUGGAAUGUGGAGGAAACUAGAGCACCUGGAGGAAAUGCGGUCACAGGGAGAAUGUACAAACUCCUUCCAGACAGUAGCAGAAUUGAACCCAAGUCACUGCUGCUCUAAUAGUGCUGUGCUGACCACCACACUAUCGUGCUGCCCUAAACUACUUCCAUGCACCGUGCAAUAAAUUGAUCUUUAUAAACAGUGUGCAAGAUGAGAUUUUUAGUGCACCUCAACACAUAUGACAAUAAUAAACCAAUUCCAUUCAAAUAAUGAGAUAAUUUUUUAUCUUGUUAUACAUUUGAUCAUAAAAGUUGACUUAAUACCCUUGUAAUUAAUUAUUCUGCAUCCAAUAUGUUUUCCGCACCAUCUAAUAAUCAGUGAUUUUUUUUCUCUCUCUUCAUUGCUGCCACUGGCUUAUUUUCCAAGCAGCACAUGCAGGAUGCUGGAAGAACUGAGCAGGUCAGGCAGCAUCUGUGGAAAAGUCGACAUUUCCUCAGAACUGAGAAGGAAGGGGUAAAAUGCUAGAAUGAAAAGGUUAUGGAAGGGAAAAGAAGCUAGCUAGAAGGUGAUAGGUGAAGCUAGUAAGGUAGGAAAGGUCAAAGGCUGGAGAAGAAAGAAUCUGAUAAGAGAGGAGACUGGACCAAAGGAGAAAGGGAAGGAGUAGGGGACCCAGGGAGAAAGUAAUAGGCAGGUGAGAAGAAUUAAAAGGUCAGAGUGGGGAAUAGAGGAGGGGGUGCGAGUGGCGUCAUCUUGCCACAGGAGGAGGCCAUAGAUCGACAAGUCAGAACAGAAAUAGAAAUUGGAAUUAAAAUGUUUGGCCACCUGUGAUGGAUGGUGCAGAGGUGCUGGACGAAACGGUUCCCCAAAUUACGAUGUGUCGGGAGCACCGGACACAACGUUUAUUUUGAGCUAGUUUUCUGAUCCUCUCCCCUGCUGGGUUACUGAGAUAAAGCACACACCCCCUCCAUUUCUUUCAAUAAGUGAGUGUGUUUUCAGUUCCAGCUAGGAACCUCUAAAUCAGCUUUAUAUAUCACAUUUUUUUAAGGGGAAUCACCAAAUUAGACACUGCCAGUUGUGAUUGCCUCACUGUUCCCUUGAUUUGCAAACACAAAUAUACACAAAGUACCCAGAAUGUACCAAAAUUUCCUUCCAGCUUCCUUUGUCAGUGUGCAGUCUAGCUUUCAUUUGCCUGGUGUUUAUUUGUAAUUCAAGAAUUAAUGUUGACAAAAUGCAGUCAGGCGUGAAAAAUGUUCAACUGCAUAUUCUGUCCCGGAGUAAAAAUAAACAGCAGCAUCUGCAGAGCAAACUACCAAACGGCAUAUAUAAUAAUAAACCUCCUUUUUUCCCCUUCUAACAAAACACCAUCUGCAAUCAUGUGCAAGCCUUUGGUGGAUAUAAAUAGUUCUUUGUACCAUUUCCUCAGAUGCCACACACAGAAUGCACCAGCAUCUCUGUAAAGUGCUCUUUUCCCUCGCAGUUAUGGGCAUGACUGUAGGAUCAUUUGCAUAUCUUACACCCUAUUAGCACGAUUGCUCAGCAAGUGAUUCCUCAGAGACUAAUAACUGCACAUUGUUUCCCUUCACUUCCUAAACUGUUAUGUAUUUUUAAAAGCACUUUGUACAGAUUGUAGAUAUUAAUCUACCAAUAAACCAGUCUUGUUUCAUGGAAUAAUUUGUAUGUUAUUUUGAUCAAUGUAACAAGAAUGAGUGGGGGAUCUCAUAAAAACCUAUUGAAUAUUGAGAGGCCUAGAUAGAAGAAUGAGAGGAACUUUCAUUGAAUAAUGAAAGGCCUAGAUACUAGGCCUAUAUUCACCGGACUGUAGAAGAAAAAGAGGGAAUUCUUCUCAUUGAAACCUAUCAAAUGUUGAAAGGCCUAAAUACUAGACCUGCACUCACUAGUGUUUAGAAGAAUGAGGGGAAAUCUCAUUUAAAGCCAUUGAUUAUUGAAAGGCCUAGAUAGAGUGGAUGUGGAGAGGAUGUUUUCUAUAGUGGGGAAGUCUAGGACCAGAGGGCACAGCCUCGGAAUACAAGGAUGUGCCUUUAGAAAGAAGACAAGGAGGAACUUCUUUAGCAAGAGGGUAGUGGAUCUGAGGAAUUCAUUACCACAGACAGCUGGUGAAGGCCAGGUCAUUGGGUACAUUUAAAGCGGACAUUGAUAGGUUCUUGAUUAGUAAGGGUAUCAAAGAUUACAUUAGAAAGUGGGAGAAUGGGGUUGAGAGAGAUAAUAAAUCAGCCAUGAUGGAAUGAUACAGCAAACUCAAUCGGCUGAAUGGCUUAAUUCUGCUUCUAUGUCUUAUGAUUUUAUUGACUAAUCUGUAAGUUAUUUUGAUCAACAGUGGAAAACAACGAUAAAUUACCCUCUCCCUCUCUAAAGUUGCCUAUAAGAACCAAUACUAUUCUCUGAACUGCUGAUUGCAAAACAGUGAUUUUCUUCCUUAAUGCCGAUAAAACAAAAUGCUUUAUGAAAGGGAAUUUGCGUUGAUGUGUUACUUUUGAGCUAAUGUACUUCAGCUUUCCCAAUAUGUGAGCCGUUGUACAGAGGCCACUUUAUUAGGUACACCUCAUUAAUGCAAAUAUCUAAUCAGCCACUCAUGCGGCAGCAGUUCAAUGCAUAGAAGCAUGCAGGCAUGGUCAAGAGGUUCAGUUGUUGUUCAGACCAAACAUCAGAAUGGGGUAGAAAGGUGAUCUCAGUGACUUUGACCCUGGAAUGAUUUCUGGUGCCAGAUGGGGUGGUUUGAGUAUCUCAGAAACUGCUGAUCUCCUGGGAUUUUCGCGCACAACAGUCUCUAGAGUUUACAGAAAAUGGUGCAAAAAACCAUCCAGCGAGUAGCAGCUCUGUGGGCAAAAACACCUUGUUAAUAAGACAGGACAGAGGAGAAUGCCCAAGACUGGUUCAAGCUGACAGGAAGGUGACAGUAACACAAAUAACCAUACGUUACAACAGUGGUGUGCAGAAGAGCAUCUCUAAAUGCACAACAUGUCAAACCUUGAAGUGCAUUAACUACAACAGCGAAAGAUCACAAACAUACAUUCAGUGGCCACUUUAUUAGGUACAGGAGGUACCUAACAAAGUGACCAUGAGCGUAGAUUAACAGCAGGCAGCAAGUGACCACAAGUAACACAAUAGCAACCAACACAAAAUGCCAGAGCAAGGCUUUCCAACCUUUAUUUAUGCCAUGGACCCCUGCCAUUAAGCAAGGUGUCCAUGGGCCCCAGGUUUGGAACUUUUGUACUAGAGGAACUCAGCAAGUCAGGUAGCAUUAUGGAGAGCAGUAAACGGUUAAUGUUUCAGACUGAGACCUUUCAUUAUGAGACCCAAUGAAGGAUCUCAGCCUGAAGUGUUUACCCUCCACAUUCCAAAGAUGCACGGGUUAAGAUUAAGACGUAGGCAUGCUAUGUUGGUAGCGGAAUCAUGGUGACACUUGCGGGCUGCCACCAGCACAUUCCUGAUGCAAACAAUGCACUUAAUUGUCUGUUUCGAUGUACAUGUGACAAAUAAAGCCAAUCUUUACACUUGCCCUGACCCUGUCACUAGGGUGAAGGUGUAUUUAAAAAAAACACUUAAAUUUGAAGUUUACUUUCCACAGCAGGAGAAGGAAGUAUUAUUGAGGAUGGGGUAGCGUGUGGGACUGUUGUUUAUUGUUCUCAGAACUUCACGUUGCGGCUGAAUGUAUCACAAAAUGACACAAUUGGGCGCCACAAAGGCGGAGCAGUUAACGUGACUCUAUUACGGCUCGAGUUAUUCUGGAGCUUGGUGUUCAACUCCAGCACUGUCUUCUCCGUGAACCACGAGGGUUUCCUCUGGGUGCUCUACUCUCCUCCCACAGUCCAAAGAUGUACCGAUUAGUAGGGUAAUUGGUCACUGCGAAUUUUCAUGUGAUUGUUGCUGUUGAGGCAUCGUCUACCCGUAGAUAGUGUAGUUAUCCAUGAAGUUUUUGUGGCAAGGCCUUCCUUCCUCACAGAUACCGCUGCUGCUUAGGUUGGGACCUGGCCAGACUUGAACUCAAGACCAUCCGCCUCAAAGUCCAUUGCUGAUGUCACUACACCACCGGCCAGACCUAAUCCUGUGAUUAGGCUAGGGUUAAAUAGGUGGAUAGCUGUGAAGAGUGGCUCAUUGGGCAGGAAGGGCCAAUUUCACACUCUCUCUAAAUAAAAUAAAUAAAAAUGCGCCCAUCAACACCUCUGAGAGAGCCACCGAGACGGGAAGUGAGAUAGGACCAUUGAAGGGAUUCGCCGAAAAGUGUCUGUUACACUCACUCAGUAGAGUUUGUUACAGCAGCGCUCAACAGAGUCUAUUUAAAAAAGUCUCACAACUUUCAAACUGACAACAACAUUGCAUAAAUAUGUAAAAAUAAUAGCAAAAGAACAGCCAACACUUCAGCCCAACUUUCACGGAGUUUUGAUUGGAUCUGUAGCAGAUUUUUCUCCAAAAUGUGACUGGGUGCAGCAGACUUGUGCAACAUGAGAUAAAAUCAUCGUCAGCCACUUCUGUAGAACUUGCUGUGGUGAAGAGAAUCAUUGCCUUAGUCUUCAAAGAGUCAUAAGUCCAAUAUUCAGUGUCCAGGAAUAAAAAAAAGUCUACAGAAAAUGGUGGACGUAGCCCAGUUCAUCACAUGCAAAGCCAUCUUCACCAUUGAGCACAUUUAUAUAGAGCGCUGCCACAAGAAAACAGCUCUCAUCAUCAAAGAUCCCACUAUCCAGGCCAUGCACUAUUAUCACCACUACCACCAGGCAGGAGUCUUGGGACCCAGACCACCAGGUUCAGGAACAGUUAUUACCACUCAACCAUCAGGCUCCUGAACUGACAUAGAUAACCCCUCUCACCUCAACACUGAACUGAUUCCACAACCUAUGGACUCACUUUCAUGGACUCUACAAGUCAUGUUCUUAGUAUUAUUUAUUUAUUUAUUUGUGUAUGUAUUUAUUUAUUUAUGUUUGCCCAGUUUGUUGUCUUCUGUACACUGGUUAUUUGUCAGUCUUUGUUUGCGCAUUGUUUUCAUAAAUUCUAUUCUAUUUCUUUAUUUUCCUGUAAAUGCCUGCGAGAAAAUGAAUCUCAGUAUAGUAUAUGGUGACAUAUACAUACUUUCAUAAUAAAUCUACUUUGACUUUAAAACCCUAAGACAAUAUUCCAGGGCAGUGCAUUGUGGAGGAUCCAUUGUCUAAGAUUUCACAGGAGCAUGUUUAACCUCUGUUGUAAACAUAAGAUAUGUUGUGCUGCUAUUUGACAGGCGUACUGGCCUCUGAACACCCCUCAAUCAUGUAACCAAAACUGAUCAAUUUGAAGGUUAUUAUUAUAGUGCUGUUCAUGGGAUCGUGCUGUGUGCAUAUUGGCAGCCACCAGAGAAGAGGAUGGUUGAGUUCAGCUGAGCACUUGAUCUCCAAGUAAGCUGCAGAGCAAGUGGGGCAGCAUGGCAGCUUUCUGUUUGGCGUAACGCUAAUGCAGAGCCAGAGGCCUGUGUCUGCACCGAGUUUGUACCUUCUCCCAGGGACUUGCAUGGGUUUCCUCCGGGUGCUCCGGUUUGCUCCCAUACUCCAAAGGCUUACGGGCUAGCAGGUCACACGGCUGUAAUUGGCCAGCGUGGGCUCAUUGGGCCAGAAUGGGACAGUUAUCGUGCGGCAGCUCUAAGUAACUUACUAAAUGGGAUUAAAAUGGAGAGGCCUUGAUGGACAAAAUAGGCUGAGAGACUCUGUGAUUGAACCUGGGUCUCUGGUGCUCUAAAGGCUGUGCUGCAGGGCAAUCGUCUUUAGAGUUCAAGUCAAUAAUCUCCCCUCAAAAAACUGGAAAUCAUGUACCCGCAGCUCAAAGACAGCUUCUACUCCACUGCUAUAAAACUACUGAACAGUUCCCGAGUAUGAUAAGAAGGACUCUGACCUCACAAUCGAGCUCAUUGAGAUCUUGCACCCCAAUGUCUACCUGCA